ensembl:lncRNA
AAGGUAGGGGACAGGAAAUCAUGAGGGGCUGCUCAGAGGGGAAUGGUGGCCUUGCACACGUGGAGUCACUGAAUCUGGGUUGGAAGGGACCUUAAAGCUCAUCCCAUUCCCCCCCUGCCAUGGGCAAGGACACCUGCCACUAUUCCAGGCUGUUCCAGCCCCGUCCAGCCUUGCCUUGGACACUGCCAGGGAUGGGGCAGCUACAGCUGCUCUGGGUAACCUGUAACCCCUGUGCCCCUGCAGAUCACGGAGCUCUCCAAGGAGGUUUUCAGGCUGAAGGAAGCCCUGAACGCCCUCCCCGAGUCGGGGGGGCCCCCACAAUCCCCACCCAACACGGAUGCGCUCCAGGCGCGGAUCCGGGCGCUGGAGGAGAAGCUGGAGGAGACAGAGACGAGGCACAGCAAGGUGGUGACGCUCUACCGGAGUCACCUGCUCUAUGCUGUGCAGGGCCACAUGGACGAGGACGUGCAGAGACUCCUGUGCCAGAUCCUGAGUAUGCAGCGGCUGCAGGAGCAGGGCAGAUGAGCCCCUGCCAGCACGGGUGGCACAGGGACGGGGGGACAGGUCUGUCACAGCACCCUGUGCGUCCCUUUGCUUGUCCGGGCACCCAGCCCACCCCCAGCACAGCAGCAAUAAAAUUAUUUAUAGUCACACUAAUGGGGUGGCUCCUCUCUGGGGGCACCGGGGUGGGCAU